rnacentral:rRNA from 1 species
GACGAACGCUGGCGGCGUGCUUAACACAUGCAAGUCGAACGGAAAGGCCCUGCUUUUGUGGGGUGCUCGAGUGGCGAACGGGUGAGUAACACGUGAGUAACCUGCCCUUGACUUUGGGAUAACUUCAGGAAACUGGGGCUACUACCGGAUAGGAGCUCCUGCUGCAUGGUGGGGGUUGGAAAGUUUCGGCGGUUGGGGAUGGACUCGCGGCUUAUCAGCUUGUUGGUGGGGUAGUGGCUUACCAAGGCUUUGACGGGUAGCCAGCCUGAGAGGGUGACCGGCCACAUUGGGACUGAGAUACGGCCCAGACUCCUACGGGAGGCAGCAGUGGGGAAUAUUGCACAAUGGGCGGAAGCCUGAUGCAGCAACGCCGCGUGCGGGAUGACGGCCUUCGGGUUGUAAACCGCUUUCGCCUGUGACGAAGCGUGAGUGACGGUAAUGGGUAAAGAAGCACCGGCUAACUACGUG